CCUACGGGAGGCAGCAGUGGGGAAUUUUGGACAAUGGGCGAAAGCCUGAUCCAGCCAUGCCGCGUGCAGGAUGAAGGCCUUCGGGUUGUAAACUGCUUUUGUACGGAACGAAAAGCCUCUUUCUAAUAAAGAGGGGUCAUGACGGUACCGUAAGAAUAAGCACCGGCUAACUACGUGCCAGCAGCCGCGGUAAUACGUAGGGUGCGAGCGUUAAUCGGAAUUACUGGGCGUAAAGCGUGCGCAGGCGGUUAUAUAAGACAGUUGUGAAAUCCCCGGGCUCAACCUGGGAACUGCAUCUGUGACUGUAUAGCUAGAGUACGGUAGAGGGGGAUGGAAUUCCGCGUGUAGCAGUGAAAUGCGUAGAUAUGCGGAGGAACACCGAUGGCGAAGGCAAUCCCCUGGACCUGUACUGGCGCUCAUGCACGAAAGCGUGGGGAGCAAACAGGAUUAGAUACCCUGGUAGUCCACGCCCUAAACGAUGUCAACUGGUUGUUGGGAAUUCACUUUCUCAGUAACGAAGCUAACGCGUGAAGUUGACCGCCUGGGGAGUACGGCCGCAAGGUUGAAAACUCAAAUGAAAUUGACGG
rnacentral:rRNA from 1 species